rnacentral:rRNA from 1 species
UACGGGGGGUGCGAGCGUUGUCCGGAAUCAUUGGGCGUAAAGGGCGCGUAGGUGGCCCCUCAAGCGUGCGGUGAAAGUCAGGGGCUCAACCCCUGAUCGGCUGUGCGAACUGGGGAGCUUGAGCACUGUAGAGGCAGGCGGAAUUCCUGGUGUAGCGGUGAAAUGCGUAGAUAUCAGGAGGAACACCGGUGGUGUAAACGGCUUUCUGGACCAUAACUGACGCUGAGGCACGAAAGCGUGGGUAGCAAACAGG